rnacentral:rRNA from 1 species
AUGAUCGAGCAUGGGAUUUUCCCUUCUGUCAUGGAGGAGAUUGAUGAUGUGCCAUCUUCGGCCUUCAUCCACGGCGACGGUGACGAGAUGGUUGAGCAUGGGAUUUUCCCUUCGGCUACGGCGAUGUAUGAUGACUUGAGUGACUUGUGCCACCAUAUUGAGAGUGAGAGUGACUUCACCACUAGCCCCAUCUAUGAUGAGUUGCCCCAAUUCCCAUGUGAGGAGAGCCACAAUCCCCACCACUUGAGUGAGAUGAGUGGCUCCACCAUAUGUGAGUUUGAGUGCACCUAUUUUGAGGGAGUGAGUGAACCACCACAUAGAGAGAGUGAGAUAGUUCAUAGGUCUCAUGAGGCCAAUUUCAACACUAACGACUUAAACUCUACCUCUAUUGUGUCUUCUCAUUUUGUGCUAGGUCCCAUAUACGAUGAUGUGCCGAUUCGCGAUGACUUCGUCCUUCCUUUGGACAAGACGAUGGCCAUGGUGGAAUAUGAUGCACCCCCACAUGGUUCCAUCACGAUGAAGAUGACCACCAUUUGGUCUUUCCCACCUCACCUACACCACUUGAGUGGAAUGAACAAGGUAACAUAG